AAAACCAUUCAUGCAUUUCCACCUAACAACUUAAGCUUUUGGGAAUGGUUCUUGAACAUGUUGUCGCUUGGCAGAAACUCAGUUAGAAAGAGAAAGCACAACAAGAAAACCACACAAAAUUGUAAGUAGCGACUAUCAAGGUUUUAAAUUGUGGUAUGGAUCCGCAAUUGCGUGAUUUUCAUUCACGUGUAUAGCCAUAUCAGACGAUUUCGG
rnacentral:lncRNA from 1 species